AGAACCUAUCCCUGUGGAGUUCUCAUAUUCCUGAAAUGUUAGAGGCAGAAGCCAGCUCACGUCCUACUUAAGUUUAUUGGCUGCAGCUGGUGCACCACACCAGUCUUCUAUCAAGCCCCAAAUGAAGUAUGUAAGGAUAAGCCAGGGAGCCGGCAUCCAGGGAAGCAUUUACAAGACAGACGUUGUCUGCCUCCUUUCGCACUCAAACCAGGAGAUAAAUACAUGACACAGGACUUUCUCCAGAGAAGCUCUGGAAAGUGUGAGGGCCCGCGGCUGACGGGGCGGUGCUUCUGGAAGCCCAACGGCCAUUCAUCCGUUCUGCUGUAGACCCGAGAAGGCAGG
ensembl:lncRNA